CCUAAGAUAAUCAUUUGCUGCUGCCUACUGCCUACUGCCUAAUGCGUCCAUCGGAUUCCUGGUGCCACUGUCACCCACUAAUAAAUAUUCAGUAUCAUAUCAUCUACUACACUUACAGUUACAAUAACAUCACGUGGCCGAUCACAUGACCUUUCUGAGAUAUCUGUCUCCAUUUUCACCAAAUCCAAAGGCUACACAUACUACAAUACAAACAAGAUACAGCGGUCAAAAGUUGAGCACAUGAUCCCACAUGUUCCCUGUAGCCUCAGACAUACCAAUAAAUAAUGAAUGAAUCGCAAUUCCCAAAUCCCACCCAUAAUAAUAUCUCGUCAUUAGCUUCAAUACUCAAAAUGCAACAAGCACAACAACCAUAACAACCAAGAUACCCCUCACUACCAUGAAGGGCUGGUCCCUGCCACUUGCUACUCUUGCUCUUGUGCUAUCACUGUUAUUAUCAGCCUGUUCUAGGGCCAAAGCUGAGGCUCCCCCAUCCCGACAAGUGCGCUCUUUGUCAUUAACCAAAACUUCAUCCUCUCCUCAAGCUCCAAGAGAUUUGCCACCCCGGAAGAGUCGUUCCAAGCAGCUGGAUUCGUCUUUACGAAGAAUUCCACCAAGCAAAUCAAAUCCCACACAAAACAAGUUCAACCCUCCCUCAGAUGGUUGAGAGACAGAACAAACACUGCAGCAGUGCCAAACACACCCGUUUUUCUUCUCAUGUCUUUCAUUUUCUUCUUGUUUCCCUUUCUAAGCAAACAGAACUGUUAGUGUACAAUGGUGUUUUGCCUUCCAACUGCCAAGUGCCAGUGAUUAUAUGUACAACAGUUUAUAUUGUAUUUCACAGUUUUGCUAACCAA